AUGACCCUAGCUUCUCGUAUAUGCUGGAACCUGGCCUUCAUUACUGGAUCGGUGAUUUUCUGGAUAAUCUGUUCAGCAUCAGGGCAAGUUAGUGCCAGGUCGAGGGCUUCUUGACAUGCCUUAGGCAAGCCGUACAAGUCAUUGACAGAAUGUUCCUUAUGAACUUCUUACAUGUACUCCAAGGAUUCGCCGAGGAAUGGAGGGUGUAGAUUCCGCCGGGCCUUUAUUAAUGGCUCUUGCAGGGGCAAUGGGUGAAGCUUGCUUUCGGUUUCUUUUAUGAAAUGCUCGAAAUGAGCUUUCAUCUCCCCAGGCCGAAGAAAGAGUUUGAUGCGUUUC
rnacentral:lncRNA from 1 species